UACGUAGGGAGCAAGCGUUGUUCGGAAUUACUGGGCGUAAAGGGUUCGUAGGUGGCUUGCUAAGUCAGACGUGAAAUCCCUCAGCUCAACUGGGGAACUGCGUCUGAGACUGGCGAGCUUGAGUGCAGGAGAGGAAUGCGGAAUUCCAGGUGUAGCGGUGAAAUGCGUAGAUAUCUGGAGGAACACCGGUGGCGAAGGCGGCGUCCUGGACCAACACUGACACUGAGGAGCGAAAGCCAGGGGAGCAAACGGG
rnacentral:rRNA from 1 species